GACGUAGGGUGCGAGCGUUGUCCGGAAUUAUUGGGCGUAAAGGGUGCGUAGGCGGUUUGGUAAGUCUUGUGUGAAAUCUACAGGCUCAACUUGUAGUCUGCACGAGAAACUGCCUGUCUGGAGGACGGUAGAGGCUGGUGGAAUUCCCGGUGUAGUGGUGAAAUGCGUAGAGAUCGGGAGGAACACCUGUGGCGAAGGCGGCCAGCUGGGCCGGACCUGACGCUGAGACGCGAAGGCGUGGGGAGCGAACGGG
rnacentral:rRNA from 1 species